CCCUCAGCUAGGGGCGAGGAUAGCCCGGGCGCCACGUUUCACUUCAGGUUUUACUGUCCCCUCCUCGCCCUGCUCUCCGGUUGUUUUCCUGACUGGGGCAAGCCCCAUAAGCCCUUGCUUGGCCAUAAAUCCUAAUAUAAUGAAAGCAGAAAGUCCAGCACUCUGCCACACCUUCCUGCCUCUCCCGAGUAAACUCCCCGGUAACCUCAGCAAGUUCUGAUAGUAAGCAGGGCUCUCGCGAGACGUCCCACUCGGCUGCCGAGGGGGUGGGGCCCUUGGAAGGUUGGCUGCGGGUCACGCGACCCAGUGGGGGCUGACGUCAUUGGCGUCACGUGAGCGUGGCCAGCCUGUUUCGCUUUGCUAGGGGAGAAGGGAAAAGGAGAAGGGACUUCGUGAGUUCUUUGCUUCACGUUCUCACAGAGCACGCCAGGUAGGGCCCCAGGAAAGCACACCGUCAAUGGCUAUCCAGAAAGCCACCAAAGAGUUCCAAGGUGCCUGCUCUUGGGCAGAUCUGCCACUGUUGUUCAAAAAUUAGCCUGGAGAAAACACUAUCUUGUAAGAUAGAUUCCUACUGCGGAUUUCCGACAUUGCCAAGCACAUGGAGUCUACACAUGUCCCGUCUAUUCUGUAUCCUACCUGGAGACCUCUGCCCUUCAAGCUGUCAUUGUGGAACACCAGUGGAGAAUUCUUGGAAAUUCUGAUUUUUAUGUAACUUUGAUUCUUUUGGUUUUUUGUUUUAUUUUAAACAAAUGUUGUCUUUUACGUCCUUAAAUUUGAACACUUAUAUCUGUUUGGGGCGCGGGGGAGGGGGUCUCUUAGAUGGCGUGUAACUCACUAUGUAGACCAGGCUGGACUUCAAACUCAGAGGUCUCCCUGCCUCUGCCACCUCAGCCUUGAAAUUAAAGGCAUGCACCAACACAUCUGGCUAAACUUGAACAUUUUUAAUAACAAAGUCAAAAUGCGUUUGGGUCUUAAAUCCUGGCCAUUAAAGUCAAGGAUCGCCUGUAUAAAUGUAACAAUAUAGAAAAAAAGAUGAUACAAUAAAUAAAUAAAUAAA